CCCUUAGAUGUUCUGGGCUGCACGCGCGCUACACUGACGCACGCAACAGGUGCCUGCUCCGAGAGGACUGGGUAAUCAUUUGAGUGUGCGUCGUGAUGGGGAUAGAAUAUUGUAAAUAUUACUCUUCAACGAGGAAUUCCUAGUAAGCGCCAGUCAGCAGCUUGCGCUGAUUACGUCCCUGCCCUUUGUACACACCGCCCGUCGCUCCUACCGAUGGGUGAUCCGGUGAAUGAUUCGGACUUCAGCGGCUCCCCUGGGGUGCGCCGGAGAAAGUUUUGUGAACCUUAUCACUUGGAGGAAGGAGAAGUCGUAACA
rnacentral:rRNA from 1 species